AACCUCUUUUAUUAAGGAAGAAGAAAGUGACGGUACUUAAAGAAUCAGCAUCGGCUAACUCCGUGCCAGCAGCCGCGGUAAUACGGAGGAUGCAAGCGUUAUCCGGAAUUAUUGGGCGUAAAGCGUCCGCAGGUGGCUCCUCAAGUCUGCUGUUAAAGACAGAAGCUUAACUUCUGAGCGGCGGUGGAAACUGGGGAGCUAGAGUACGGUAGGGGUUGAGGGAAUUCCCAGUGUAGCGGUGAAAUGCGUAGAGAUUGGGAAGAACACCAGUGGCGAAGGCGCUCAACUGGACCGUAACUGACACUCAGG
rnacentral:rRNA from 1 species